UACGUAGGGGGCUAGCGUUGUCCGGAAUCAUUGGGCGUAAAGAGCGUGUAGGCGGCCCGGUAAGUCCGUUGUGAAAGUCGGGGGCUCAACCCUCGAAUGCCGGUGGAUACUGUCGGGCUAGAGUGCGGAAGAGGCGAGUGGAAUUCCUGGUGUAGCGGUGAAAUGCGCAGAUAUCAGGAGGAACACCAAUUGCGAAGGCAGCUCGCUGGGACGUAACUGACGCUGAGACGCGAAAGCGUGGGGAGCAAACAGG
rnacentral:rRNA from 1 species